rnacentral:rRNA from 1 species
UACAGAGGGUGCAAGCGUUAAUCGGAAUUACUGGGCGUAAAGCGUGUGUAGGUGGUUGGAUAAGUUAGAUGUGAAAUCCCCGGGCUUAACCUGGGCAUUGCGUUUAAAACUGUUUAACUAGAGUACUGCAGGGGAGACUGGAAUUCCUGGUGUAGCGGUGAAAUGCGCAGAUAUCAGGAGGAACACCGGUGGCGAAGGCGGGUCUCUGGGCAGUAACUGACGCUGAGGAGCGAAAAGCGUGGGGAGCGAACAGG